rnacentral:rRNA from 1 species
UAUUUUAAUGGCCGCGGUAUAUUGACCGUGCAAAGGUAGCAUAAUCAUUAGUUCAUUAAUUGUGGACUUGAAUGAAUGGUUGGACAAAAUAUUGACUGUCUCAUUUUUAUUAUUAAAAUUUAAAUUUUUAGUUAAAAUGCUUAAAUUAUUUUAAAGGACGAGAAGACCCUAUAGAUCUUAAUUAUUAAAAUUUUUAUUUUAUUUUGUUUAUUUUUAGUUAAAAAUUUUGAUUUUUUAGUUGGGGUGACUUGGAGAUAUAAUUAACUCUUUAUAUUAUAUACAAUUAUGUUUGUUUAUUUGACCUUUUAAUAAUGUUUUAAGAUAAAGAUACCUUAGGGAUAACAGCGUAAUUCUUUUUGAGAGUUCUUAUUGACAAAAGAGAUUGCGACCUCGAUGUUGGAUUAAGAUUAUUUUUAGGUGUAGAAGCUUAAAUAUUAAGUCUGUUCGACUUUUAAAUUCUUACAUGAUCUGAGUUC